rnacentral:rRNA from 1 species
UACGUAGGGUGCGAGCGUUAAUCGGAAUUACUGGGCGUAAAGCGUGCGCAGGCGGCUUGCCAAGUCAGAUGUGAAAGCCCCGGGCUCAACCCGGGAACUGCGUUUGAAACUGGCAGGCUAGAGUUUGGCAGAGGGGGGUGGAAUUCCACGUGUAGCAGUGAAAUGCGUAGAGAUGUGGAGGAACACCGAUGGCGAAGGCAGCCCCCUGGGCCAAAACUGACGCUGAGGAGCGAAAGCGUGGGGAGCGAACAGG